UCUGGGCACAAUGAGAACACAGCUGGGACUUGCCCAACUGCCACCUGAUCUCAUCUCCAACAGCCAAACGGCAGAAUCUGAGCAAGCCUGAAGAACCACUAGGUUCUGUGAUAUUGAUCACCCAAUGGCUGAGCAGAAUAGAGAACAAGGUGGGAUGUCAGUCAACCAGAGAAAGGAGGAGAUUCAGAUCCUCGAGGAGAAUGGAAGGUUUGGAGCCACGAGGAAGGGUGUGUGGAGAAAGAUCACAGAAACACACUUGAGCCCAAGACGUGAAUCUCACCGUGUGCAGAUGGUGUUAGCACCCAUUGUAAGGACACACAGCAGUUCUGUCAUCCCACUCCUGAUGAGACCUUGACGGCCACCCUACCCCAUUUUAUCCAGGAACCAGUUUCCAUCUCUGCACUUCUGGCACUUUGAGAAUGUCAGAGAGCAAAACCAACAGACUGAAGUACAACUGUGCUUCUCCACCUCAGCUCUCUCUGAGGUUUCUCUGAGUUACUGCAUGCACCUGUGACUGAACUGUCUAUUAAUGACCACAGGUCAUAUCCAGCUCCAGAGAUGCAAAUAAAACUGCUGUAACACAAGUGA